rnacentral:rRNA from 1 species
AGCUUUAUGAAAUAAUAUAAAGUUAUACCUGCCCAGUGAAUUUUUUUAAACGGCCGCAGUACCUUGACUGUGCUAAGGUAGCAUAAUCAAUUGGCUUUUAAUUGAAGUCUAGUAUGAAUGGUUAAAUGGGUUUUUACUGUUUCUAACUAACUAAAUAAAAUUUACUUAAAAGGUGAAAAUUCCUUUAUAAAAAUGAAAGACGAGAAGACCCUAGGAAUUAUUUUUUUUUGUUGGGGCAACAUUAAAUAAAAAACAUUUACUAAUUAUUACUUUAUUAACCAGUUUUUAACAUAAAAAACUAAUUACCCUAGGGAUAACAGCAUAAUUUUUUUAUAAGUUUGUGACCUCGAUGUUGGACUAGGAAGUUUAAUUAUUAACUAUACUUAAAUUUGGUUCUGUUCGAACUUUUUACUCCU